rnacentral:sRNA from 1 species
GUGAACGCGGGCGCCCUUGUUUGGGAGCGCGGCCGGCGCGCCCGUUUUGAAGCUGCCGGGAGCAGCGCGGGCCGGACCGCGCCCCCUCCUCGGUCCCCGCGCCCCGCGAGUCCGCGCAGUUCCCGAGGCGCGGGCCCUGUUCCCCGCGCCGCGCCCCCUCAGCGGGCCGUGUUCGCAUCACCGAGGUCGGUCCGGGCCGGACCGAAGCCCCCGGGGCGGGGCGGGGCGCGGGCGUCCGGGGGCGCCCCGGGCCCAGCCCCCGCCAUGCCGCCCGGCAAAGUGCUGCAGCCGGUCCUGAAGAUGAAGGUGGACGAGCUGUUCCUGUACUGGCUCAGCGAGGCCAGCACGCAGCGGAUGCUGCAGGACUGCUUGCGCCGGAUCAAGGCGCCCGGGCGGGACCAGCCGACCGCGGGGGACGGGGAGCAGCCCGGGGCCUGGCCCACAGCCCCGCUCGCCGCCCCCAGGCCCAGCGGGCUCGAACCCCCGGGAACCCCCGGGCCGGGCCCUGCGCUGCCCCUGGGCGCCGCCUCCAGCCCCAGGAACGCGCCCCACGCUCGAGGCACCCGUAGAUCCGCAGGGACGAGAGUAGCGGUGUUUUAACGUCACAGAAUGAGAUCGAAUGUCCACCUCGCAGGUUGUGUAGAGAUGCAAGCAGGAGACUCUUGAGUUCAGACGCGGAAAGAAGAGCCUCUGCCCCCGGCUACGAGCCAAAGCAUUCCGACCUUCUACUUCCCCAGAGGACGCCCGCAGGACUCCGUCAACGUGGAUGCCGUCAUCAGCAAGAUCGAGAGCACCUUCGCCCGGUUCCCCCACGAGAGGGCCACCAUGGACGACAUGGGCCUGGUGGCCAAGGACGUGGUGAACACGCACCCGGGGCUGUCGUUCCUGAAGGAGGCGUCCGAGUUCCACUCGCGCUACAUCACCACGGUCAUCCAGCGGAUCUUCUACGCCGUGAACCGGUCCUGGUCCGGCAGGAUCACCUGCGCCGAGCUGCGGAAGAGCUCCUUCCUGCAGAAUGUGGCGCUGCUGGAGGAGGAGGAGGACAUCAACCAGCUGACCGAAUUCUUCUCGUACGAGCAUUUCUACGUCAUCUACUGCAAGUUCUGGGAGCUGGACACGGACCACGACCUGCUCAUCGACGCGGACGACCUGGCGCGGCACAAUGACCACGGUGCGCGGGGGCACAGGGGCGGGCGGGCCGCGCGGACACCGAGCACACCCUUCUUCUCUCAGGGCCUGCGGGUCUGCAGCUGCCUCUCCUCCCGCACUCCCCGCUCUGUGUCUGCAGCUGCCUCUCCUCCCGCACUCCCCGCUCUGUGUCUGCAGCUGCCUCUCCUUCCCCACUCGCUGCCCGGUAUCUGGGUCCCCGCGUACGCCUCUGCCCGAGGCCUCUGCCUGCCGGCGUCUACAGGGUCAGUGUGGGCCGCUGGUCCUGAAGCUCCUGGCCCGAGGGCCAGCAGCGCUGUGGGGCUUCCUUGUUAACACCCGAGCAAGGGCGGGCAGACCACACGCCUUCCCUCAGGAGCUCCAGGUUGCAGCCCCCAAGGCCUGGAGCAGUUUCCAUCCAAUCCCGGACUAGGUGGCGCCCCAGGCUUAGCGGUCGUUCAAAUAUUUCCGCGGGAGCCGGUGCCGCCCAGGUGUCCUCAAAGCAGCCACCGCCUCCCGGCCCCUCUAAGAGUCAUCCACACUUGCAGGAACUCAAAGCGGCCUGUGGCCUGUAGGGCUUGAGUUUUCUAAAGGAUUCUUUUAAGUGUGCUUUUUACCCCAAAAAACCAUAUGACCAAGACUGUUACCG